AGGCGUGCAGCAGCCAAUGAAUCAUUUGAUGAUGGAGUAGUCACUUGAGCAUUCAAUAAAACACUUGAUGUUGUAGGAGUCGCUUGAGCAUUCAACAAUCGUUCUUUCACAUCCUUGCUCUUUCAAAAUGCUGGAAGAAUAGGACAAUAUCCAAAUCUGACUUCAAAUGAUGCUUCAAGUCAUUAUUGAGACUCUCACUUAGUUGUGUGCUCCUCAUACCCAAGGAACAAGAAAUUGUGAGAAGAGGAGAAGGAAAAAGUGUGGUAGCAGCAAAAUAAGUGGUCCUAUCGUGGCGCCAAACUGAGCAAAGGCAGUGGUCCUAUUUUGGCGCCAAACUGGGCAGCUGCACCGCAUGUUCCCUCCAAAACAGAGCAGCAGCACGA